rnacentral:rRNA from 1 species
GGGGCAGCUUACACAUGCAGUCGACGGCAGCGCGAAGAGCUUGCUCUCUUGCGGCGAGUGGCGCACGGGUGAGUAUAUAUCGGAACGUGCCCAGUAGCGGGGGAUAACUACUCGAAAGAGUGGUAAUACCGCAUACGCUCUACGGCGAAGGUGGGGAUCGCAAGACCUCUCACUAUUGGAGCGGCCGAUAUCGGAUUAGCUAGUUGGUGGGGUAAAGGCUCACCAAGGCACGAUCCGUAGUUGGUUUGAGAGGCCGACCAGCCACACUGGGACUGAGACCCUCCCAGACUCCUACGGGAGGAGCGGGGGGGAUUUUGGACAAUGCGGGAACCCUGAUCCAGCAUCGCGCGAGUUUGAUGAGGCUUCGGGUUGUAAAGUACUUUUGGCAGAGAGAAAGGAUCCCCUAUACGGGAUACUGCUGACG